rnacentral:rRNA from 1 species
GACAUAGGAUGCAAGCGUUGUCCGGAUUUAUUGGGCGUAAAGAGUUCGUAGGCGGUUUGUUAAGUCUGAUGUUAAAGACCGGGGCUCAACCUCGGAAAUGCAUUGGAUACUGGCAGACUGGAGUGCAGUAGAGGCUAGUGGAAUUCCCAGUGUAGCGGUGAAAUGCGUAGAUAUUGGGAAGAACACCGGUGGCGUAGGCGACUAGCUGGGCUGUAACUGACGCUGAGGAACGAAAGCCAGGGGAGCAAAUGGG